UACCCUUUUCUUAUAUCAUUUUCUUUCACUCCUUCCAGAUCUUUCUAAUUCUCUUGUCACCGUUUGCGAUCAUUGCUACUGUCAUUAGUGAUGUUGCAGUACCUGUUUUAAGUGAAGAUCUUAUGGAGAUACCUGAAGCCCCGGACUGCUCGGUCCUCUUUUAUUGGAUUCUAUAUCGAACCAGAAAGCCUAGCGUUCUCCAGUAAUUAACCCCUCUCUGCAUCAUACAAACUGGGUUUCAACAUAUUUCCAUACAAAGACUAAAUGCAGGUACUAUGCGUAAUUGGCUGGGAUUUCUCCUUAGCAUCAUUAGAAGUCUCGCAAGCUUAAAAUGCCUGAAGUCUGUUGAACAAUACUUUAUUAUUAUUAUUGAUCCCCUGUGGAUUUUAUUUCAACAAUGGUGAUACUUUGAUAUUACAGUUAAUGUUGAAGUAUAUUUAUCUUUAUGCUU